AUCGGGCCCUCGGCGCCGG
rnacentral:miRNA from 1 species